rnacentral:sRNA from 1 species
AUAGCAGAGUGGGAGAGUUAGGGUAGGUCAGGUACAGCCUGCGCUCAGCCCUCACAGGCCCUGCACAAGCCCGCCAGGCCCCUGGCUCCCUUCUGGCAUUCACCAGGAGAGGUUCUGCCCAGACCAGCAGCGAGUCCCUGUGGCCCAUCGAGGCCAGAAACGCAGCCAUUGCCAAUCACUGCUUUACCUGCGCCAUCAAUCGUGUGGGCACCCUCACCAGGACUUUGGCUACUUUUAUGGCUCAAGCUAUGUGGCAGCCCCUGAUGGCAGCCGGACUCCUGGGCUGUCCCGUAGCCAGGAUGGACUGCUAGUUGCUAAGCUCGACCUAAACCUCUGCCAGCAGGUGAAUGAUGUCUGGAACUUCAAGAUGACGGGCAGGUAUGAGAUGUACGCACGGGAGCUUGCCGAAGCUGUCAAGUCCAACUACAGCCCCACCAUCGUGAAAGAGUAGCCGGCUUCAGUGCCUGCCUUGGGGUGAGGAAAACACCUCUGCCCCCGUGGAUUAGCAAGCGUGGCAGGCUUAACAUGUUCAAGUUCUCCCCAAUAACAUUGUCCAGGUUGGCUUUAAAAUCCCCAGGCAGGGGGAGAGUGGCAUGAGGAGUGACUUCUUAAUGGGUAAGGGGCUGCUUACUUCUGGGGUAUUGGAAGUGUUUGGGGACUAGGUGGAGGUGAAUGUACUAGAUGCCACUGAAUUUGUAUACUUCAGAAUGUUUCAGUUAUGUGAAUUUUACCUCAACUAAAAAAAAAAAAUGCCCAGGUAUGCUUGUGCAGGUGGAUUUGAGGUUAGGCAGAUGAUGCUGUCCAUCCUAUACACCAGUGGGAAGAGGGUGAGGGCUGAUCCAGAGACCCUGAGCCUACAGCAAGGCUGUGGUGGGUGGGAUGGUCUUUGAAUGUGUCGGCUUAGCUAGGCCACAGUCACCAGUAAUUCAAUCAGACACUAAUCUAGGUAUUUCUGUGAAAGUAUUUUGUAGAUGUGACAGAAGUCCAUUCCCCGUUGACUAAGUAAGUGAGAUUAUCUCAGAUAAUCUGGGUCAGCCUGACCUAUCAGUCAAAAGCCCUAAAGAACAGAGCUAAGGGCUUCCCUGAGGAAGAAAUUCUGCCUGUGGACAGCAGCCCAGUGCUUGGCAAGAGUUCCUGACAGCCUACCCUUCCUGAUAGCCUGCCUUAGAGUUUAGACAUGACUAGCCAGCUCCUACAAUCACUGAAGUCAAUUCCUUGCAAUAAAUCUCAAUAUAUACCCUACUGGUUCUGCUUCUCUAGUUGAAUCUGACUGAUACAGAUUUUGGUGCCAAAAGUGGUUCUAGAAAAAUAGAAUCUUAAAGAUGAGUUUUCUGCAUUGGUUCUGGAUUUUUUAGAAUUCUUCCCUAGUUUGAUUGAACUUAAAGGCAUCAGUGACUCUAUUUCCAUAGAGUCAAGGUAAAGAGGGUAGUUGGUAGUCCACAGCAUGGUGCAAAAAUAGUAAUUUAUGUGCGAGGCCAGCCAUCAGUCUGUGCCCAGAGUUCCAGCCUGCCCUUUCUGAUGGCUUGUCCUGUGGAUAUCAGACUUGCCUGACCAGAUUCCAUCAUCAUAGAAGGUAAUUUGUUUCACUAAAUCUUUUUAUAUCUCUAUCCAUCAGCUACUAAUUCUGCUAGUACUGCUUAUGUGGUUGAGCUCCAUUUUACACAUCAGAUUACUCACCUCUCUACACCUUGGUUUUUACAUCUGUAAAAUGGGACUGGGCCAGGUGUGGUGCGGUGGCUUAUGCCUGUGAUCCCAGCACUUUGGGAAGCCAAGGCAGGUGGACCACUUGAGGUCAGGAGUUCAAGACCAGCCUGGCCAACAUGGUGAAACCCCGUCUCUACUAAAAAUACAAAAAUUAGCUGGGCAUGGUGGCGCAUGCCUAUAAUCCCAGCUACUCAGCAGGCUGAGGUAUGAGAAUUGCUUGAAUCUGGGAAGCAAAGGCUGCAGUGAGCCGAGAUCAUGCCACUGUGCUCCAGCCUGGGCAACAGAGUUGAGAGCCUAUCUCCAAAAUAAAUAAAUAAAUAAAUAAAUAAAUAAAUAAAUAAAGGGGGGGACCAUAUUCCUGCUUUAUGUCAAGACAGUGGUAAGAGACAGACUAGAUGGGCCAGGGAGCUCCUUGGCAGUUAUCAGUGCAGCGCCUAUUUAGCCCUGUCCCUGCACAACACGGCAAGAGCCCAACCUGCCAAGUCUCAAACAGCAGUUAACCAGAAUAUCGGGUUGGAGGUGGGGUCGAGAUUCUGUAAUUCCCCGCUUAUUGUUCCCAAUCAGAGAAGGCAGCCAGAGAAGGCAGCUUCAUCCCUUCACUGGCCCAGCAGCUGAAUGAUAUGGAAACCUCCAUGUCAGGGCUAGGGUACUCCUGGACAGCCACCAGGGAUGAAAAACCUGAUGGAGCUGCCUGGCCACAGCUCUGCAGUAACUUCCUUGAACUCUGUACUGCAGGUUUUCACUUUACCUAAUGGCCCUCCUUGUACCUUAAAAAAAAAAAAAAAAAAAAAAAAAUUCCAGUCCCACAGACAUGGUGAGCUUUUUUGCCUGGUCCUUUAGCUUUCAAAAUUUAGUGUCAGCCAAAGCAGGCAGAUCACAAGGUCAAGAGAUGGAAACCAUCCUGGCCAACAUGGUGAAACCGCAUCUCUACUAAAAAUACAAAAAUUAGCUGGGUAUGGUGGUGCACGCCUGUAGUCCCAGGUACUCGGGAGGCUGAGGGAGAAGAAUCGCUUGAACCCACGAGGCGGAGGUUGCAGUGAGCUGAGAUCACACCACUGCACUCCAGCUUGGCAACAGAGUAAGACUCCGUCUCAAAAAGAAACACAAAAAAACAAAACACCUUAGUGUCUUUGGUUUCUAGAGGGUGUAAUCAACCUAAUACAGAAGCCAGCUUAGGUGACAAAUUGGUGCAUUUGUGAAAUAGGCAUGAAUAAAUGGACCACAACUCUUUGAUUAUCUGCAACUCUCAUUGCCUGGAAACAGAACCGUCAGGCCCAUCUUAGAGUAUGCAGGCCCUGCACAGCCAAGGUCAUUUCAAGGUUUAACUCAUCCCUGGAACAUGCAGAUGCUCAGUAAACAUUUGAAUGAA